UACGAGGGGGGCAAGCGUUGUUCGGAAUUAUUGGGCGUAAAGGGUGCGUAGGCGGUUUUGUAAGUCUUGUGUGAAAUCUUCAGGCUCAACUUGAAGACUGCACGAGAAACUGCAGGGCUUGAGUGUGGGAGAGGAGAGUGGAAUUCCUGGUGUAGCGGUGAAAUGCGCAGAUAUCAGGAAGAACACCCGUGGCUAAGGCGGCUCUCUAGUACGGUACUGACGCUGAGACGCGAAAGCGUGGGGAGCGAACAGG
rnacentral:rRNA from 1 species